rnacentral:rRNA from 1 species
CACGUGAGUGACAAGCGUUGUCCGGAAUUACUGGGCGUAAAGAGCACGUAGGCGGUUUGGUAAGCGGAGGGUGAAAUUCCAGGGCUCAACUCUGGAACUGCUCUCCGAACUGCCAGGCUAGAGUACGGGAGAGGGCAGUGGAAUUCCUGGUGUAGCGGUGGAAUGCGUAUAUAUCAGGAGGAACACCGGUGGCGAAGGCUGCUGCCUGGAACGUUACUGACGCUGAGGUGCGAAAGCUAGGGGAGCGAACGGG